GCAGUCGAGCGAACUGAUUAGAAGCUUGCUUCUAUGACGUUAGCGGCGGACGGGUGAGUAACACGUGGGCAACCUGCCUGUAAGACUGGGAUAACUUCGGGAAACCGAAGCUAAUACCGGAUAGGAUCUUCUCCUUCAUGGGAGAUGAUUGAAAGAUGGUUUCGGCUAUCACUUACAGAUGGGCCCGCGGUGCAUUAGCUAGUUGGUGAGGUAACGGCUCACCAAGGCAACGAUGCAUAGCCGACCUGAGAGGGUGAUCGGCCACACUGGGACUGAGACACGGCCCAGACUCCUACGGGAGGCAGCAGUAGGGAAUCUUCCGCAAUGGACGAAAGUCUGACGGAGCAACGCCGCGUGAGUGAUGAAGGCUUUCGGGUCGUAAAACUCUGUUGUUAGGGAAGAACAAGUACGAGAGUAACUGCUCGUACCUUGACGGUACCUAACCAGAAAGCCACGGCUAACUACGUGCCAGCAGCCGCGGUAAUACGUAGGUGGCAAGCGUUAUCCGGAAUUAUUGGGCGUAAAGCGCGCGCAGGCGGUUUCUUAAGUCUGAUGUGAAAGCCCACGGCUCAACCGUGGAGGGUCAUUGGAAACUGGGGAACUUGAGUGCAGAAGAGAAAAGCGGAAUUCCACGUGUAGCGGUGAAAUGCGUAGAGAUGUGGAGGAACACCAGUGGCGAAGGCGGCUUUUUGGUCUGUAACUGACGCUGAGGCGCGAAAGCGUGGGGAGCAAA
rnacentral:rRNA from 1 species